ensembl:lncRNA
ACAUGUAAGUCUUCCCAUCAACAAUAAUAAUAUGAAGCCCUUUCUAAAUGUGCUCUGGUGGUGCAUUAACUUCAUGUACCAUCACGCCCCGAACCAACAGGGUGCAUGUGAAUGGAGGGGUUGUACAAGGACCGGCUUGUGUGAGGGUUACUUUUCUGCCAAUCCUAUCUCUGACGUCCCCGGCAGGUUGAUGUGAUGGAAUAAGGCCUUCGUAAGGUGAAGCGUCUCCAACAUCACGCCGUCGGCUAUCGGGGGCAAUGAGACGCUUCACUGGACCUCUGAAGUUCUACUGGACCCCUUUUUAUUCAACAUGUUACUCACAAGAGAUGCUUUACAGCGCCUCCAUGUCUGUUUGCUCUCCCACAGACAGGGAAGGUGGAGGUUCUGACUCACUAUUAUCCAUUCGGUUUUUCUAAAAUACAGCUGUAAGAUCUGGAUUUUUCACCACUGUAUUUAAUCAAAAGUUGUACCUCACACAUCCAACAGUGCGGUUUUAGUUGGGCGGCUAGUUUUCUGGCACAUAAAUAAUUGCUGCAGUAAAAAUCCCCAGAGCAAUAUAGCUUAAUAAUGGCGGUACGAGGAUUCACUCGUGGGUCGACGGUGGCGCACGGAGUAGAGAGGGUUUGGCGGGAACCACAAGGUUGCGGUUUGAGCCCUGGCUGCUCCAUGUCCCAUGUUGAAGUGUCCCUGAGCAAGACACCCAACCCCUAAUUGCUCCUUGGGCAAAAAUAAUAAUAAUUAAUAGCAAAUCAGCAUUACUGUCCAGUUUGACCUGAACUCUCCAUCUGAUUGUGUUUAUUGUUGUUAAUAACCUGAAUGUAUAUGCGCACCAUAAAGCCUCGGCUGCAAUAAGAAAGAAGGAGAGAUGGUCGAAAGAUCAGACGAUUCAGAAAAGGGCUUGAAUGGGGGCAUCGGCCAACCAGAGCCGGACGUAGACAUAAAAAUAAAUCCACAUUUUGACCGACCCGUGCGUCUGCCGCGAGGCCUUCAGAAAGGCCUCCUCUAGAGUAGUUCCUCUUGAAUCCAUCAAGGUGAAGCUCAACAUGUGUCCUCUCCACACUCUCUGUGCUGUCAUGUAGAUGUUGGUUCAAUCGUGUAUUUUCAGGAUAUUGAUAUUUUAUGAGGCAAUUUACACUUUAUCCUCCAGAAAAGAAAUUGUCCAAAUAGUCAAAGCAGUUCCAGAGUGAUUAUACUUUUUAUCAUGGCUAAGCCAAAAUAUCAUCCGAAAUUACAGCUAAACCUAGCCAGCUAGUGCUAAUGACAGCUAGUGACUUAGCAUUUGCUGUGCCAAACGCAUUACCCCGGCUGGCCCCGCUUUUACCCAGCAGAUCAGUGGAUCAGUCAACCACCAGAGGACAAUGAGUACACAUGGAGGCCGGGAGUGGCGGUCCGAUGGGCCGUGUCCCUCAGUUAAGCUCUCAUUCCACACGAGGGCAGAACGUGAUGCCGUCAUACUCCACUUUCCCCAUCUCUAGGAAUAUCUGAAAAUUGAGCGUGGGAUAGAAAGUCAAGCACGGCCAUCAGCAUCACAGAACCAACACACACGUUUAUCAAAACCUAGGAGGCAAAAAAAGAUGAAAAUAGGUAACUUACUUGUAUAAUAGACUACAUUUAAUUUAGCCUAGAACAGAACCUGAUGAAGCAGUCGAUCAAUGCUUGUUGUAUGAAUUUGUGAUGGUCACCUGCUCACUGAGCUCUCUGGUACCUUCUGAUGCUGUUCAUGCCCGACAUCUCUCCUCCAAUAACAGAGGAGCCUUCCAUCUCCGGCUGCCAAACAUCAGCUGGCUUUCUAAUUCAUCAUUAUUUCCAUUUCCUAUAAGAAAACGCGGUAUGUUUUUUUCCAGUUGUUAUAAAAGGAGUGCGAUGUGGCCUCUGUGUUUAUGCUUGAUCAUCCUUAAUGCCACCACCGAUGCUAAUGGAAACAGCAGCGCAACAUUCACUUUACUCACAGCUGCCACUUAAUGUGCUCUGCUUUCUUUUGCGUUAAUCUUCCUUUCACUUUCUCAGCACAAGUUUCCUGCCUGAAAUCUACCCGGUUGUAUGAUGGAUAUUUCCUCAAUAGCAGCUUUGGAAGAUGCCCCUGCUGGGCUCCGCCCUCUGCCCGCCUGCUUUGAUGGAUUACGUCGACUGCUAUUUCCGUCUUGUUUGUCAGAGACGAGACAAAAAGAUUGCACCGUCUCACUGGAGGCGUUAGGAGUCAAACCGCCGCACAGAGAGAGAAAGUUGGGGGCGGGACUUUAAACACCAAACCACACUGCAGGUGGCAGCCACAAACCUGGAUAUUAUUCAUAACUAUCAAAGGGAAGAGGCAGCUCAUGCCACAUCACCACAUUACAUUAGAAAUUAACUGUUUGGUCAAUUUCAAGAUAACAACUAAGUAAAAAAGGUCAAAUCAAAAUCACUUGUCAGCAGCUAAAAGCCUCCGUUCUUACGUAACUUGCGUAUUCAUAUUCAUGUCUAGUUUGGCCCCAUUUCCUUCAGGCACGGAGACUGAUGGCGACAGCUCUCGGUUUCAUCAAUAAAGGACUCAACGUAAACUUUAUCAAGCGGACGCUUGAAGAAGGGUCAGUGUAAAAGCUUAAUAGAUUCCAUUUGAAGGGGAAAGCUCUCUCCUCCAUUGUCACCGCCAGCCUUUUCGUCUGUCAGCCUUCCAUGUGGGCCGUUGAGGAGGUCAUCCAUCUGGACUGCAGCGUUGUCAUCGGCUUUGUUCGCUCGACACCUCUGAACUGAAUGAUCCAGCCACAGGGGCGUCGUUUGUGGUUCUCGUUCUCACUUUUCUACGGUCUCAACUCUGCAACACAUUGCGCACGUUGCAGUCUACGUCGUUAUCGUCCUCUCCUGCAAACCAACACUUCCAUUUGCUCAGUCCGAAGCAAAGCCACACCGGUUAGCGUCUUAUGUUAUCUGUGGAUAAACUCCCUUUGCAUUCAGAUUGAAUGACUAAAGUUAACUGUUGCUGAAUGGUGAAUUAAAAGAUGAUUAUUUAGUGUUAACAGCUCUCAGUAAUCACGAUUACGGGGAUUAACUGCUUGUAUGUAUCUAAAACUCAA